rnacentral:rRNA from 1 species
AUCUCCGGGGGUAGAGCACUGUUUCGGCAAGGGGGUCAUCCCGACUUACCAACCCGAUGCAAACUGCGAAUACCGGAGAAUGUUAUCACGGGAGACACACGGCGGGUGCUAACGUCCGUCGUGAAGAGGGAAACAACCCAGACCGCCAGCUAAGGUCCCAAAGUCAUGGUUAAGUGGGAAACGAUGUGGGAAGGCCCAGACAGCCAGGAUGUUGGCUUAGAAGCAGCCAUCAUUUAAAGAAAGCGUAAUAGCUCACUGGUCGAGUCGGCCUGCGCGGAAGAUGUAACGGGGCUAAACCAUGCACCGAAGCUGCGGCAGCGACGCUUAUGCGUUGUUGGGUAGGGGAGCGUUCUGUAAGCCUGCGAAGGUGUGCUGUGAGGCAUGCUGGAGGUAUCAGAAGUGCGAAUGCUGACAUAAGUAACGAUAAAGCGGGUGAAAAGCCCGCUCGCCGGAAGACCAAGGGUUCCUGUCCAACGUUAAUCGGGGCAGGGUGAGUCGACCCCUAAGGCGAGGCCGAAAGGCGUAGUCGAUGGGAAACAGGUUAAUAUUCCUGUACUUGGUGUUACUGCGAAGGGGGGACGGAGAAGGCUAUGUUGGCCGGGCGACGGUUGUCCCGGUUUAAGCGUGUAGGCUGGUUUUCCAGGCAAAUCCGGAAAAUCAAGGCUGAGGCGUGAUGACGAGGCACUACGGUGCUGAAGCAACAAAUGCCCUGCUUCCAGGAAAAGCCUCUAAGCAUCAGGUAACAUCAAAUCGUACCCCAAACCGACACAGGUGGUCAGGUAGAGAAUACCAAGGCGCUUGAGAGAACUCGGGUGAAGGAACUAGGCAAAAUGGUGCCGUAACU